AACAGGUCUUUAAGCCCACUUCUACCUUGUGAAAUGCAUAGAAAUGACCACUCAGCUUGGGGUAGAGAUCUCUGCUUUCCUGGUGUCUAGGUGUGGAUGUAGUCCCAGAGCACAUGAUCAGGCCCCUCCCUAUUUGGCAGCUGAGUAUAGGGAACUCCAAGGUGCUCAAGGGAAGGGGAAACCACAAGUUGGGAGGAGAGGAGCCCAAAUGUCUGACCCAGCAACAACUGACACCACACGCAUGAACUGGCACAUGCACAAGAACAGAAUCCCACAAGCUGGCGCUCAAUGCAGCAAUCCCUGUGACAUGGAAAAUAGAAUACUUGGUGAGGUAGAGCUCCUUCUAAACAAUAGUUACUUUUACUCAGUGUUGCUGGUGAUUAAAAUAAUAUAUAAAUGUGGUAUAUACAUACAUACAUAUAUACACACACACAUAUAUAUAGUUUCUGAACUAGGAAAAUCCCUUUAGUAUCUCAUUUUUUUCUGUUUUUUUUUUAUUAAAGAUUUAUCUAUUUCAUAUAUGUGAGUCUGUUGCUGUCUUCAGACACACCAGAAGAGGGCAUUAGAACCCAUUACAGAUGGUUUUGAGCCGUCAUGUGAUUGCUGGGAUUUGAACUCAGGACCUCUGGAAGAACAGCCAGUGCUCUUAACCGCUGAGUCAUCUCUCCAGCCCCCUUUAGUGUCCCAUAACAUCUAUUGUCAGAUUCUAUCACGAGGUUGCUUUAUUUACAAGCAAGGACCCUUCUUUCUCCUAUCCACUCCUGGUCCUUAUGCUCGUUUUUCUUAUCUCAAAUCUUGGUCAGGCCGGCAGUUCUCAUCUCAUCUCUGAUUAUAGUGGGAAUCCAUCUACUUAUUCUUCAUUAAGUCUGAAGUUGGACAGAGCUAGGCAUGGGUCCCAUUUGUGAGUUUAAGGAAGCACUAGGAUGGAGUCUAGUCUAUUUCUAUUUCUAGUCCUUUUCUAUUUUGUAAGUUAGAUAUUAGUUCAUUCAUUUUUAUCCUCCCCAGCUCUCUAACACAGAUACUACUUUCUGCCUUGGCAAUAUUCCACAUUUUUGGGAAACACUUCCCCCGUGAGAAGAGCACAUGCCACACGUGUAUGAAAAUUCAUCUGCCAACUAAUUAAAAUAAAAUAGACAUUCAUAGUUAUGAAAUGUCUAACUUGGGGCCUGGGGAGCUGGUGCCCUGGCUGUUUCCACUUGCUCAGCGUGUGCAAGCAAUGGUCUGAUUUCCGUCAUUAAAAAGUAAGUUGGCAUUUUCUAGAAGUUUCUUCAAAUGUAGUCAUGAGAGACUUAUUUAUAUCACUAAGCUUUUUCUGAGACAAGUUAUUUUGAGAUACACACGUGUCCACUCCUUUCUACGACUGUGAAGAACUCCAUUGUAUGAGCUAUGCUUCCACUUGCUUGUCCAUUCUCCCAUGGAUGGACAUUUACUGCAGCUAAAACAGGUAAAUAUGCUUGAGUGCCUGCCUGUCACAGCCAUGCUUUCGUCUGUUUGAGUAAAUGGCCUGGGUUAUGGUGGCUGAGCCAGAACUGCAAGCUUAGCACUUCAGGAGAGGGUCAAACUAACUUCCAACGCUAUUGCUUUAUUUUCUAUUUCCACAUCUUUAAGACUUCUGUUUUGCUUCAUGUUUGUUACCACAGCUCAGAGUGAGCUCCCACUUUAGUACGGUGUCAAGUCUCCUGAUCAUUUGCACUUACAAUCUUUGUUGUUAUUGUUGGCGUUUGUUCUCCUAUUGUUGCGUUUCACAUAACUUCUGUAUUCUGUAUACAUGUCCUUUAUCAUAGUUCUGCAUUGUGCAUGUUCUAUCUCAGUCUGAGGCUUGUCCUCUCGGUAAUGGGUGGUGUCUUUUGAAAGGCAGAGUUCUUAAUGUUAAUGUAGUCAACUGUAUCACCAAUUGAUUUUAUGGAUCGUGCUUUCGGUAUCCUAUAUUUGAUCCCACUAUACUAGGAUUUUCUGCUGCCUGCGUUUUCUUCUAGAUGUUUGACAAUCGUCAGAUCUAUGAUUUCACUUGAACUGUUGCCUGAGGUUAAGAUCUAUGAUCUGUUUUGGCAUGAGGUAUGGGUUGAUGUUUAUUUAAUGCACAAGCACGUGCAAGUACCAUUGAAAAGUACAGAAUUUACUCUACUUAGUUCUGGGUAGCUUCUCUGGCUAAAUCUUGAAGGACUCACUCACAUGCCAUUUCUCAUUACCUUUCUCAGUCUUCCCUCAGAAGCUCCUGAGAAAUACUGAUGAAGGCAGAUGGUGGUGCCCUACAACGGUGUCAACCGACUUGAAAGGGGAAUAAGCCACCGCCACUUGAGAGCAGAUGCAAAACACGACUUUCCAGCAUCCUCUCAUACAAGAAACACAGAGCUAAAAUACUGAAGGACUGGAAACCAAACCUUUGGGCAAAAUUUCAGUGCCCUGCAGUCAUUUGACAGUGUAGAAGGGUGGGGACAGUUUUGCUUCCUGUCUGCCACAAAUGACUGGCAAGGAAUCCACUCAGUGACACAAAGAAAUGCCCUUUAUCUCUGAGGAUGGAAGGAAGGAGAGGAAGAAAGAUCUUCCCAACGCAAGAUGCCCCACGGGUAUCAUUCAAGAUCUGGAAGCCAUGAAAGAGAAGAGCAGGCGUGGUGUGGGGCCAGGAACAGAGGUAGCCUCUGUGAAGAGAGGACUGGACCAGAUAUGCUGAGAGCCUCACCUCCUCUUAUGCACCCUCACCCUGGACAAUGAGCUGAGGAAGACAGGGCCCCUCUGUGGUGCAGACUAUCUAGCCAGCAUCCCAUGGUUGGCUGAUGCUUAUGUUGUAACUGGCUCAAACUCUAUGACAAAAUUUUACAGUUUUGUUACACACUAAGUUUGGUUACAGUUUGUUAUGCGGGAACUCAGAGUUCAGGGGCCACUUCGGGCCAAAUUCAAGUUAACAGAAUACAAAAGAGAUGGACUUAUAAAAGCAAGCCUGUACCCUAGUUUUCUAACCAUCAGGUCAAAGCUCCUCCAACAUACCUAAUGCUCUGCCUGUAGCCUCCUUGGCCAAAGACUGGGAAGUUUACGUAGUGCUCAGAUCUAUAGUUGGGGAAAGGGCAGGAAAGCGAGGCUCUGGAUUUAUGCCACCAGGGAGAUUACCCAUCACUGGUGUAAGGGAUGAAAAGAGACUCUGCACUAUGGAGAUCCUAACCUUCUCACUGUGACAACCUGGCACACGCACAGUUCUGGCUUACCCACAGUUCUAGCUCUAAUAACCUCUGAUUUGUCACCUAGCUUAGGCCUCAAUGUAGUUUCCAGUAAUCUGGGGUUCUCAUUCAGCACACACUCACUUCCGCCACCACCCCUGCCUACUUCUAAGUGCUCAAUCCCAUCUGGCUACGCUGCAGAUGCUACUGAUCUAAAAUAUGACAUGGCACCCAUGAGAGGAGCUAGCCAGCACCUCCAAACCUAAGUGUGGGUCAGAGGACUAGCACCUGGGGUACAAAAUCAAGCCUGUGUAGACAGACACAAACUAUGUUUUCUGUGUUACCGAGUGAAUGAGAGAGGAGAAUGGGAGGGGGGCUGUAGCUCAGUGGUAGAGCACGUGGUUAGCAGGUAUGAAGUCCUAGGUUCAAUCCCCAGCACUGCAGAGAGUGGGCGCUCGGGAGGAAGAGACAAGAGAGUCAGAAGUUCAAGGUUAUCCUGACCGCAUGAUGGACUUGACAUCAAGGAAAAGAUGGCAAAGUCUAGCCCAGUGCCUACAUCCACAGCCUGGGGGCAGAUGAAGGCACCUGCUUCAGUCUCUGCAGGCCCUCCCCUCUGCAAGUUCUCACUCAAGAGUUCUUCUCAUGCUGGAGAGAUGGCUCAGCAGUUAAAAGCACUCACUGCUCUUCCAAAAGUCCUGAGUUCAAAUCCCAGCAACCACGUAGUAGCUCACAACCAUCUGUAAUGAAACCUGAUGCCUUCUUCUGGACUCCAAACCCCCAGGGAAGGAUGUCACCCAAAAUGGACAAGACACUUCCCAAAAGACAUAGCCAUAGGCCAACUUGAUUAAGUAAACUUGUUCAGUCACAAGCAUGUUUGGAAAGAAAAAGAACUUGGGCUGG
rnacentral:lncRNA from 1 species